rnacentral:rRNA from 1 species
AUUGAACGCUGGCGGCGGGCUUAACACAUGCAAGUCGAGCGAGCGGCGGACGGGUGAGUAAUGUCUGGGAAACUGCCAGAGGGCGGGGGAUAACUACUGGAAACGGUAGCUAAUACCGCAUACCAUCAGAUGUGCCCAGAUGGGAUUAGAUAGGAGGGGGGGUAAUGGCUCACCUAGGCGACGAUCACCAGCGGGUCUGUGAGGAAGACCAGCCUCACUGGAACUGAGACACGGUCCAGACUCCUACGGGAGGCAGCAGUGGGGAAUCUUGCACAAUGGGCGCAAGCCUGAGGCAGCCAUGCCGCGUGUGUGAAGAAGGCCUUCGGGUUGUAAAGCACUUUCAGCGAGGAGGCGUUACUCGCAGAAGAAGCACCGGCUAACUCCGUGCCAGCAGCCGCGGUAAUUG